rnacentral:misc_RNA from 1 species
AUAAGACAUUUCUAUCUAGAAAUGACUUGAAAUCAUAUUAUUGAGAUAUGUAUAAUUUUAUGUGCUAGACUAGGUUGUACUUGUAUGUGAAUAUCAGUGUGUGGAAGCAUGUGUGCGCGCGGCGUCUCGAAAGCAAAGGAAUGAAAACUGUUCAGUUAACAAUCUGUUAGGGAAGAAAGUGCUGAGCACGUGCAAAGAGAAUUCAAGACUGGGCUGUGUGGAAAUACUUGGAUCCCUCUCCAAUGCACCCCGAAUCGCGUUAGUCACGGCUAAUGUAAGGAAGCAACAGGGUGGCUGUAGGGCAGCAGAAAAAUCGGAAACCAUCGAGAUUACUACAGAAAUGGAUGAAGUUAAAAAGAUAAGAAAGUCGGAAAUUAUCCCAAGGAUACGUCUGUUAGUUUCCAAUUAAGGAUACUUUCCCAACUGUUUCGCAAAAGGCAAUUUUGAUACUAACUGCUAAUAAGAAAUGGAUGUUCGUGAGAUUACAGAAAUUAGGUAAUAAUGGUUGUAAGUUGAGUUUAUAAUAUUUACUGAUCUUUUCGAAGCGUUUACGGAACAUUUUAGAGCACUGGAUAAUAAAAUUUAAUCAUAAUACAGAUCCGAAGAAAAUCAUGUUGAGUUUCUGAAAAAUGGUAUCUAAAUAUGGAGAUCUGAUGAAAAUUGUGAUGAAUUUCUGAAGGAUACCUAGUAUAAAUUUAUUGCACAGAAUAUCGUGUAAUUAAUAAUGCAAUUGGUAAACGGAUGUAAUUAGAUGAUGUUGAUUGUAAAGAUUUUGUAAGUUUCACUGAAUAUUUUGCAGGAGAGAGAAUGAUGAUAAGAAUCGAGAUCUAUGUGUAGGUAAUGCCAUUUGUACUUGCAGUGACAUGGAAAAAAGAAUAGAUAAUGCAGGAUAAUAUUUUUUCGUUUGAGGUUUCAUUUUCCAAGAUAAUUGGGUUUGAACUUCAUAUUUUAU